AGAGUUUGAUCCUGGCUCAGGGUGAAUGCUAGCGGCGUGCUUAAGGUAUGCAAGUUGAAUGCGUUUAUUCGCAUGGCGAACGGCUGAGUAACACGUAGGAAUCUACCCCCAAGUAAGGUAUAACCCAUCGAAAGGUGGGAUAAUGCCUUAUGUGAUGGCAACAUUAAAGAUUUAUCGCUUGGGGAUGAGCCUGCGGCCUAUCAGGUAGUUGGUGGAGUAAAAGCCUACCAAGCCUAUGACGGGUAGCUGGUAUUAGCGUAUGACCAGCCAGAGGGGCACUGAGAUACGGGCCUCACCCCUACGGGGGGCAGCAAUCGGGAAUUUUGCGCAAUGGGCGAAAGCCUGACGCAGCGACGCCGCGUGAAGGAUGAAGGCCUUCGGGUGUAAACUCG
rnacentral:rRNA from 1 species